GAUGAACGCUGGCGGCGUGCCUAAUACAUGCGAGUCGAGCGAACAGAUGAGGAGCUUGCUCCUCUGACGUUAGCGGCGGACGGGUGAGUAACACGUGGAUAACCUACCUAUAAGACUGGGAUAACUUCGGGAAACCGGAGCUAAUACCGGAUAAUAUAUUGAACCGCAUGGUUCAAUAGUGAAAGACGGUUUUGCUGUCACCUAUAGAUGGAUCCGCGCCGCAUUAGCUAGUUGGUAAGGUAACGGCUUACCAAGGCAACGAUGCGUAGCCGACCUGAGAGGGUGAUCGGCCACACUGGAACUGAGACACGGUCCAGACUCCUACGGGAGGCAGCAGUAGGGAAUCUUCCGCAAUGGGCGAAAGCCUGACGGAGCAACGCCGCGUGAGUGAUGAAGGUCUUCGGAUCGUAAAACUCUGUUAUUAGGGAAGAACAAAUGUGUAAGUAACUAUGCACGUCUUGACGGUACCUAAUCAGAAAGCCACGGCUGACUACGUG
rnacentral:rRNA from 1 species